rnacentral:tRNA from 1 species
UAGCUCAGUUGGUAGAGCAUGAGACUCCUAAUCUCAGGGUCUUGGGUUCAUGGCCCAC